UACUGGCUCAGGAUGAACGCUAGCUACAGGCUUAACACAUGCAAGCGAGGGGCAGCGCGAGGGUAGCAAUACCUUUGGCGGCGACCGGCGCACUGGUGAGUAACACGUAUGCGACCUGCCCCGGACAGGGGGAUAAACCCGGGAAACUGGGCCUAAUACCCCAUACGCCUAUUGAUCGCAUGGUCCUUAGGUGAAAGAUCCGUCGGUCCGGGAUGGGCAUGCGGCGCAUUAGCUUGUUGGCGGGGCAACGGCCCACCAAGGCGACGAUGCGUAGGGGUUCUGAGAGGAAGGUCCCCCACACUGGUACUGAGACACGGACCAGACUCCUACGGGAGGCAGCAGUGAGGAAUAUUGGUCAAUGGACGCGAGUCUGAACCAGCCAAAAGUCGCGUGCGGGAAGAAGGCCCUCCGGGUCGUAAACCGCUUUAGCCGGGGAGUAACGUGGGGGACGUGUCCCUCAGUGAGAGUACCCGGAGAAUAAGCAUCGGCUAACUCCGUGCCAGCAGCGGC
rnacentral:rRNA from 1 species